CCAGGAAUGGAGAACCGCUGAGCGGCGCGCUUCCCAGGGUUCCCCUCCUGGGAGGCUGUGAGCAAGUGGCUCCCAGAAUUUCCUGGAGCCUCCUGUCCUCCUGUCAACCCGAGCUGGCCUCCUAGCAAGCCCUCGGGGCAGGGUGCAGGAGGCCCCCCCCGCCGGACUUCCCAGCAGUGAUCUGCAAACCGAAGGGUGCCGUGUCUCAGGCCCGGGCCUCUGGGAGAUGUGGGCUUAAUGACUAUACUGGCCCAGAGGGGACUGAUGAAAAGUCGAGGGAAGAUAAGGAAACCCGUGACUUACAAGUAUAACAACAGAAGAGCAAGCCAAGGGCAGGAGCUGUGUGCAGACAUUUGAGCGAAGAACUGGUCUGAACCAGGGACUCUGGGCACAGCUCCAGGAGUCCCAGGGAACCCGCAGAAGGACCCAAAAGGACAAAGUGAUCCAAGCAUGGGAUAAGGAUCUUUACGCAUUGCUCUCUGUCCCUCUGCCUGUGUGUGUGUGUGUGUGUGUGUGUAGUGUGAAGGCGUGUUUAUACCUUUUCAAAAUAUCUUACUCAGUUUUUAAUUUCUUUCAAGGAGCAGGCAGAUUGCCAAAGCAAAGGCCCAGAUCAAGGCCCCUAUUUCCGGUUGUGGGUGCCGUGCUGUCCCACCGGUUAGGCUGUGAGCUCUCUGGCAGGGGCAACGCUGGGUUCCAGGAGCCCACACACAUCGGGGAGCGGUACACAGGCAUGAGCAAAUGAACACGCAGACCCGAGACUUCUUCUUGUCUUUGGUUUCUCAUCCCCAAGUAGCAGCAUUCUAGGUCAUUAGGAGGAUCACUUUGAUUGCUUUAUCCACUUAUCUGAUAAGCAUGAAAUGCCUUCUGUGUGCCAGGCUCUGCCAUGGAGAUUUGGAGGUACAGCGGUGAGUGGGUGAGGGCCCUGUCAUAUGCUGCUGACUCCCCCCCAUCCCGGGCUUACUGCAGGAGUGCGGGUCACAGGUGCAUGGGCCCAUGGGCCCAGGUCAGGUGGGAGAGGUUGGCAGACGGGCAGGGACAACCAGAGAAGGGCCGUGGUGGAGGGGCUGUGGGUUCUGAGGCACUGUAGUUUGGAGAAGCAGCCCCAGAAGGCUGGGUGUUGAAAGCGUGCGCCUUGGUGCGAUGCUGUUGGGAGGUGCUGGGAACAUGAGAGACAUAUAUAAGGGGAGGUCUCUGGUCACUGGGGUUGGGCCAUUAUAGGGGAUGUGCAAAGCUUUCUCCUCCCACUGUCUCUUUUGCAUUCAGUUAUGGGGUGAAUAAGUUUCCUCUACCAUCAGUCUCCGUCACGAUAUGCUGCCUGGUGACAGACCCCAGAGCAAAGGGGCGACUCUGUGGGCUGCAACCCCCUAAAGUGUGACCCCUGAUAAACCUAUUCUCUUUAUAAGUUGAUCAUCUCAGGUCUCUGAUACAGUAAUGGAGAGCUGACUGAGACAGUUGGUGUGAACGGUCAUGUUGGCUGAUAUCCCCGUGCAGCUGACACCUUCUUGUCCUCAGGUUCUCAUCUAUACAGAGAGGAAUACAGCCCGACCACCUCCUCCUGGGCAGAAUGCACUCUCCUAGGUAUAGAGCAGGCCUGACACCUGGCUCUAAGACAGAGUGGCCAGGCAGAGGGGCAUUGCAGGUCCACCUGCAGCUUGGGAAGCUCAUCACCUGCAGGCAUCAGAGCCCUCUGGAUCAGAGCCUCUGUCCCUCCUCUCUGCAGGCUGUUGCAGGUACCCCCGGUGUUUAAUAGCCUGAAAGCAGCAGCAGCACCCCAAGUGUAAUGAGUCAGUGCUCUGGGGAUGACCCUCCACCUGCAUGGACAGAGCUCAUCCAGAUGGGAUGAGGACUUUGGAGUGGUUGAACCCAGGCGUUCAUCACAGGCAUUGCUCUUCCAGGGUCCUCCCGGGUCUCCUCCUCCCAUUGCACCUUUCUAUAGAUCCCCUCUGGGUUCUCAGGCUCACUGGCAACAGACGAAUUAUUGCUGAGUCCUUGUCUGCCUGGAGGGCCCCAGAUCUGCCAAGGCUCCACACUGCUGAGGGAUUUCACCAGGCCUCUGGGCCUUCUGUACCUGAGUAUCCUCCUCUGUCAAACAGGGACAAAAGGCCACCCCCAGGAUGUCAGGAAAGGAGGCCUGGCACAGGGUCAGGGAGAGCAAUGUAGCAUCAAGAUGCAAACCACUGCCAGAUACAAAUGCUCGCUGUGUAAGGAAAAAGGGUGCACGGAGCUGAGGGAUACACGAGGGCUCCCAAAGGACACCGCCAAGAGACACCAGGUCGCGUGACAGUCACAGGAGAGACUAGACAAAGGUCACACGAUGGAAGUUUCCUAGUGGAACAACUUAAUAUCAGGGUUAGAGAGCUCUUAGGAAAAUUGAGGAGACCCAGGAAGAGUUUUGCUGAAAUGUUCUAAUUUAAUCAUAAAAAUCAUGUGGCAAGUACUCAGCCAACACUGAAUUUCUUUCUUUGUUUCUAGCAAUCCUUGUAUACUUAGAAUUAUAACUCACAUUUUGUUAAAUACAAGAUGCAUUUAAAUUAAUUCAGUGUUUUGAGACAAGGUCCGGCUGUGUAGCCCAGGUUGGCCUUGAGCUUGCAGCAUUCCUCCUGCCUCAAUCUCUUGAAUACUGGGAUUAUAGACAUGCACCACUCCACCUGGCAGGGUACAUUUAUUCCUCAUAUUUUUAUUUUAUAUUUUAAGAUGAAAUGCCAAACAUGACUUUUCUCCCUUGUUUCUUUCCAAUAUAGACUUAUUGUUAAUGAAGUGGCCGAUUCCUGGCUAAUCUGAGGGCAUCAGACUAUGUGUGUGAUCUCUCCGUGGGCCAGGACCCUGGUGUGUCCAGCUCCCUGUAGAAGCCACGGGGCAGGGCCAGGGCAUACUGGCUGCAUGGGUGAAUGAAUGGAAGGAUGAGAGAAUGAAGGAAACCCGGGAACAGGGUCCAUACAAAAUGAGCCUCUCUUUGGAGUAGGUUGUAGGGGUCCCAUUGUGGGCCCAGGGCCCAGGGCACGUGACCUGUUCCUUCCUGUGCCAAACCCUUCACCCACAGUGUGCUCUGGUCCUGGACCUCCCUUGCUCCUCCUCAAAUAGCUGAUCGUCUGGGGCCCGGCCAGCAGCAGGGCCCAUCUGAGAAAGGACCUCCGUGACCAGCUGGCAGGUGGCUCAGCGUGGAACAAGAGUCCCUCGAGCCAUUUGGCAGGUAAUGGGCUGAGCUGACCAUAGCCCUCACUGAACAGACAGGAAAACCAAGGUUCAGUGCGAACCCCGGGGUCGCUGGUGAGAUGAGCUGAACAGAACUGGGACCCCCAUCUGGCUUACAUCUGGAACAGUUCCCACGAGCACAUGUGUAAAAUUAUGCUAGAUUCAGCUUUGUCAUUUAUGAUCCUCCUCUAACCCUUGUGGAAAAGUUUAUCAAGCUUUUAAGAAAAUCAUCGUGGCUUUAAAUAUCUUAAGUAGAGCAAAAACCUGCAUUUGGUGGUACGUACCUGUAACACCAGCUCCUUGGGAGACUGAGAUGGGAGAAUCAGAAGUUUGAGCCCAGCCUGGGCAGUUUACCAAUUUAGCAAGAAUUUGUUUUAAAAUUUAAAAAAGGGCUGAGUUUGGGGAUUACCAGGUGGUGGAAUAGAUAGAAGUCAUCAGAAAAUCACAGCUACUCUGUGACCUGGAAUUGAGACACCUGAAAAAUAACUACCUAGCAAGGAAGAAGAGAGGAGCUUCAGGAAUCCAGAAAGAGCUGACAGGAAGCUGACAGGAAGCCAGAAGUUAUGGAGAAAUAAAAGGCAACAUACAGGGCAUAACGGUGCAGGCCUGUAAUCCCAGCACUCAGGAAGCUGAGGCAGGAGGAUUGCCGUGAGUGUGAGACCAGCCUAGGCUGCAUAGUGAGUUCAAGGCCAGCCCGAAGUACAUAGCAAGGUCUUGUUUUAAAAACAGUCAAACAAACAGAAGACAACAUGGAGGAAAGAGUGAAGCAGUCUGCAGUACUAACCCUGGCGGGACCUGAUUCCACCAGCACAGGAGUGGGCCAGCAGUGCCAGCCUGGGAAAUCCCAUGGUUAUAGUAAGCUGCAAACACCACGUGGGGAUUUACUCUGAAAGUGACGCAUGUUACAAGACAAGCUAGAUUUGGAAAACAAAUACACCACAGUGCCUGUCAUAUCUGGGAGUGGUAUAAUGAGGAAACAUUUUGAGAAAGGAUUUAUUAAAACAAGCUACUCUGGGAAUCAGAAGUCACUGAACACGUUUGGGUGUGGAAAGCAGGAGCAAGUUACAGAAGGGGAGAGCUCGUCACAGCUCGGUGCCCCAAGGCAUUUAAGCAGUGGUGAGUUUAGGCUGCAGAAGACACAGCUCUGCACCUUCUGUGCUGAGAAGCCUACUGGUUUACCUGUGGUUUUCUGAGGGGGCUGGUUUGGUAAGCACUGGUGCUGAAUCCAGUGGAUUGAUUGACUUCCCCUUGUUGCCUGUUCCACUGGUCUGUUUGCUUUUGCUCAUCUGCCAAGGUGGUCAGGAAUACAUCUCUGCUUGUCCAUUUGCCACGUCCCUGAGUAUACGGACAGAGGGCGCUCAGGAGCAAGCAGAGCAUCAUGAGCGUGCACGCUGCAAAGCUGGUCAGCAAUAUUGGUGACUUGGGAUCAACCAAAGGACGCAAAUACUGGAAGAUUAGAGUGACGACAGCCCUGAGGCAGACAAUGAGCCACUGACCGACCCUGUCCAGUGGGAAAGAGGGAGUGCAGAAUUCAUCCUUCACACAGCAACAGAUGAGAAACAGAGAGAAGUCCUGAGAUUAAUACGUAGCCAGAGGAGAUCCAGAGUCGGGAGUCUUGAGGGAAAAAGCAAGGCUGGAGAUGUCAUGUUACCUACCUGGUCUUGGUCACCUCCUUUUAGCCUUUGAUGCUAAGGUCACUCCUUUAACUUCCCCAGGGUGAAACUUCACUUUCUUCCGGUGUUGCCACUUGUAGUGUUUGGUCCUUUGGUAGUAAGCACCUUGGUGAAUAUGAUGAGAAUAAUUGUAUUUCUCAACAUCAAACAAUGAGAAGAAGUGACCCACAGUUCAGUGAAACAGGGAUUUGGGGAAAAUUGCACCAUACCGUUGAAGUGUGUGAAUGUAUAUCAUUUCCAUAUGGAAUCCAAAAAGGAUGUAGAAAACCAUAAAAAUAUAGUUUUUGCAUGUAUUAGAGACAUCCAAGCAAGAGUAUCAAAAAUAAUUUGAUUUGGCCACAUAAAAUAAAAUAUGGAAAUUA